rnacentral:rRNA from 1 species
AGUGAACGCUGGCGGUAGGCCUAACACAUGCAAGUCGAACGGCAGCACAGUAAGAGCUUGCUCUUACGGGUGGCGAGUGGCGGACGGGUGAGGAAUACAUCGGAAUCUACUUUUUCGUGGGGGAUAACGUAGGGAAACUUACGCUAAUACCGCAUACGACCUACGGGUGAAAGCAGGGGAUCUUCGGACCUUGCGCGAUUGAAUGAGCCGAUGUCGGAUUAGCUAGUUGGCGGGGUAAAGGCCCACCAAGGCGACGAUCCGUAGCUGGUCUGAGAGGAUGAUCAGCCACACUGGAACUGAGACACGGUCCAGACUCCUACGGGAGGCAGCAGGGGGGAAUAUUGGACAAUGGGCGCAAGCCUGAUCCAGCCAUACCGCGGUGGUGAAGAAGGCCUUCGGGUUGUAAAGCCCUUUUGUUGGGAAAGAAAAGCAGCAGGUUAAUACCCCGCUGUUCUGACGGUACCCAAAGAAUAAGCACCGGCUAACUUCGUG